rnacentral:rRNA from 1 species
AUACGGAGGGGGCUAGCGUUGUUCGGAAUUACUGGGCGUAAAGCGCGCGUAGGCGGGCUGGCCAGUUGGGGGUGAAAUCCCGAGGCUCAACCUCGGAACUGCCCUCAAUACUACCAGUCUUGAGUUCGAGAGAGGUGAGUGGAAUUCCCAGUGUAGAGGUGAAAUUCGUAGAUAUUAGGAAGAACACCAGUGGCGAAGGCGGCUCACUGGACAGGUAUUGACGCUGAGGUGCGAAAGCGUGGGGAGCAAACAGGAUUAGAUACCCCAGUAGUCC